UGAAUCCCAGGUAAGUGGGACCAUAUAAACAGCCCCUAAAAAUUGCCCCACACAAGAGAAACUUGCUGAGCUAAUCGCCUUGCCUGGUGGCUAGCUCAGCUAUGCAUUUUCACCGCCCACAUUGGGAAAACUACUCGACUGUUGAUAACAUGUUUGCAUUUCCCUCUAUUGUCACCAUUUUGACCAAACACAAUAGAUAUUUUCCUCAAGAGGUUAAUUCCUCACGAAAGCUGUCCGCACAUGCAAGAAAACGAAAAC